UACGUAGGGCGCAAGCGUUGUCCGGAAUUAUUGGGCGUAAAGAGCUCGUAGGCGGUUUGUCGCGUCUGCUGUGAAAUCCCGAGGCUCAACCUCGGGCUUGCAGUGGGUACGGGCAGACUAGAGUGCGGUAGGGGAGACUGGAAUUCCUGGUGUAGCGGUGGAAUGCGCAGAUAUCGUAAGGAAGACCAGUGGCGAAGGCGGGUCUCUGGACAGUUCCCUGACGCUGAGGGCAC
rnacentral:rRNA from 1 species